rnacentral:rRNA from 1 species
UACGGAGGGUGCAAACGUUGCUCGGAAUCAUUGGGCGUAAAGCGCACGUAGGCGGUCCAGUAAGUCCGUUGUGAAAGCCCUGGGCUCAACCUGGGAAUGGCAGUGGAUACUGGCGAGCUAGAGUGUGAUAGAGGAUGGUGGAAUUCCCGGUGUAGCGGUGAAAUGCGUAGAGAUCGGGAGGAACACCAGUGGCGAAGGCGGCCAUCUGGAUCAACACUGACGCUGAGGCACGAAAGCGUGGGGAGCAAACAGGAUUAGAAAUCCUGGUACGUCCGAG